GGCCGGGCCGGGAGCGCGCGCUCCGUGUCGCGACAUAAAAAUUUUAGUAAGGGGUAAAAGGGGCGAUAGCCAGCGCUGAGGCUCUGUUUCGUUGUUUUGACACUUCUUGAGUCAAUGGGUGGAGCAGUUGAGGGGAGGUGACAAAGCCACGCCCGGGCCGGUGACGUCAGCAGGGCUCUGCACAAACAGCAAUUAACAACUUAAUGAGCGUUUUAAUUAAGGAUUAGCCCCGCGUCAUCGGAGCUGCCUGGCAGCUUCCAGUGGGAGAGAAAAUCCAACUGGGAAAGGCAGGCUCUGAACUUACCUGGAUCCCAAAAAUUCCCAUUUUCACCUUAAAAAACCUCCUGCCGAGCUGUGUUCUCCUGCGUGGGAAAGGAUCGGCAAUAAUGCCGGGAAUUGUCCCGGGUGCCGCGGAUCCCUUCCUGCGCCGCCGCUGCCGCCGCCGCGCGCCCGCCGGAGCACGAGCCCAAAACCGGCCGUGAGCAGGGUUAGUGCUUCCACCUUGGCACCUGAAUCCCGGAUGGGGACGGG